rnacentral:rRNA from 1 species
UGCCCCAGUAACGGCGAGUGAAGCGGCAAGAGCUCAAAUUUGAAAGCUGGCCCCCUCGGGGUCCGCAUUGUAAUUUGCAGAGGAUGCUUCGGGAGUGGCCCCCAUCUAAGUGCUCUGGAACGGGCCGUCAUAGAGGGUGAGAAUCCCGUAUGGGAUGGGGUGUCCGCGACCAUGUGAAGCUCCUUCAACGAGUCGAGUUGUUUGGGAAUGCAGCUCUAAAUGGGUGGUAAAUUUCAUCUAAAGCUAAAUAUUGGCCGGAGACCGAUAGCGCACAAGUAGAGUGAUCGAAAGAUGAAAAGCACUUUGAAAAGAGAGUUAAAAAGCACGUGAAAUUGUUGAAAGGGAAGCGCUUGCGACCAGACUCGCCUGCGGGGUUCAGCCGGUAUUCGUACCGGUGUACUUCCCCGUGGGCGGGCCAGCGUCGGUUUGGGCGGCCGGUCAAAGGCCCUCGGAAUGUAACGCCUCUCGGGGCGUCUUAUAGCCGAGGGUGCCAUGCGGCCAGCCCGGACCGAGGAACGCGCUUCGGCACGGACGCUGGCAUAAUGGUCGUAAGCGA